rnacentral:lncRNA from 1 species
ACACUGAAAAUAAGAAAAGGUUGUAUUUGUAUUAGAGGUUGAAUGUUUAAGACAUUUAUUUUUGGUCUAGUAUGGUUCUCCUUCACAGGAAGGAUACUGUUCGAGUCGGGAAUAUCCAUCUCUCGGUGGGCUUAGCUCUAGUUCUCCCAGUGUGAGCUUUUCCCAUACGCAAAAGUCGCGAACUCAAGAUCUUACCCCAGGAAAAUCAAGCAUGCUUACGAACCACAUUUCUUACAAAAUAAGUAGUGCACAUAAUACUAAUGCACUUUAUUACCUUUUCGUCAGUGAAUCUGGACCAGAAUCUGGCCUUGGCUCUUUCAUAGGGAUCAUGUGGAAGAAGAGGAUUUUGCUUCCAGGUCUCAUCAAUAUACUCAAGAAUCACUAGUGAUUCUGCCAGAGGUUUACCAUCAUGCACAAGAACUGGUACCUUCUUGUAAACAGGGUUAUACUUCAGGAGCAUGACACUUUUGUUGCUGAGAUCUUCUUCCACAUAUUGGUACUGCACCCCCUUUAGUUCAAGAGCCCACUUGACCCUGAGCAUAAAUGGACUACCCCAGAACCCCAUUAAUGUGACUGAAUCCCCUGACAUUUUUGUUUUCUAACCAAAUUCUUGAAGCUCUCCCACUCGCAGGUCCUCUAUAUACUAUAAGAAUAAGAGUAUUGCUUAUUUAUAAUAAGAUAUUAUUAACCAAUCAAUCUGAGUGAGUGGCAUAUACUAGCACACGUAGCCAAUUUAAGAAAAAAGUGACCAACUCAUCGAGUUAGAACUGGUCAAUGGCUAAAAUGAUUAAGUUAUAAGAUCAUAUUAUUAUUAUUAUUAUUAUUAUUAUUAUUAUUAUUAUUAUUAUAGAAGCGUCAUUCACUGCGUCAGUGGUGUGGAACUGGAAAGUAGUUGUCUUUGACUUUGAGUCCCAUCUAGAGAGCAUCUAUGGAGGAAAGAGGAUGAUCUUUUUCAAUAAUAUUUCCAGCGAGGUACCUAGUUCAGACGACGAUACAAAGACAGUGACCAAUUUGAGGAUUAGCCCAAAAAAAAAAAAUAGAGAAAUUGUCAGGGAGACACAUAAGGAAAAUAGGGAAUCCCUCGAGGGAGCGACAAACCUUUCGAGCCCAGUCCUUGCUAUGCAUGAAAGCUCCAUUUCUUAUAUAGCAACCUAAUCCUUACUGGACUCCUUUUUAGGUUCCUCCGAUUUCUUUUCAUGAUGUCAGGCAAGACUAAAAAGAAUCUUUUUUACACCAAGCUUCCUCAAGGACCUAUGUCAGAAUUUCUUGUGCACUCAAAGUAAAUAGAAUUCAUCCGAGACAUGUAUCUCAUGAAGUCAUCCUUCUUUCUUCCUCGACAGCAACCAAAGACCAAAGAAAUCCUUGCAACUUUAAUCCUAGUAGAAGAGAUCGAAGUUUAGAGCCAUAAAAAACUGAUUUCCCGAGUAAAAGUCCAGAUCCCUUGAGGCUCCACAAACAGGGGGUCGAACACAGGAAGCGAAACAUCUUUUCUUUUGGUACGUCGGAAAGAUAAAUUGCACCCGCCACACAUUGAUCCCUGGACCUCCCCCACCUAACCUACAUGUCCCCUAGCUCUUACCACUUGAGCUAUCAUUCGAGGACAAAACAUCUUUCUUUAAUUCAUCCGUAUUUUUUUGUUUUUGAAAUUUAAACAAAGUUUUAGGAUUCAAAUUUAAAGAAAGUUGAUUUCAAAAUGUAUCAGCCAAGAACAUUGAAAGAAGGUAUAGUACCUAGAGUGAAGGGAUUGCAAUGAGAGAAUCUAGAGAGAGAGCGUGUAACCGCUUAGAGAGAGAGUGUAACUGAAUUUCAAGUUUGUUAUUUCUCAAACUUACAAUUGGUAAUCACCCUCUAUUUAUAGGCUAGGGUUGGGACUGGCGUCCCUAACUAUGCUUAGUGGGCUGGUUGGGCCUCUCGGGGGAGGCCUAAUUCCCUGGCUCACGCCAGGGAUGGAUUUAGGUGUAUAGGUAUGAGGGCAAGUGCCCUCACUUAAAUUUGGAAAAAACAUUAGAAAAAAAAAUUGAGUAGUAAAAGUAUGUGGUUUUUUAUGACUUCUUUGAUAAAAAAAUGCUCUCACUUAUUUCCACACAUUGCUAAAUGCCCUCACUUGAGUCUCACAUUUCUAAAUGUCCUCACUUGAGUAGUAAAAAAUGUGGUUUUUGAUGGUCCCUUUGGUAAAAAGUGUCAUCACUUGUGCCUCUUUUAGUAAAAAAUGUUCUCACUUCUAAUAGUAUAUUUUUUUUUUUUUACAAAUUUAUAUGUAUAUAUUGCCCCCACUGCAUCAAAUUUCUGGAUCCGUCACUGGCUCACGCGUCGCCCUGAGGCAAGCAUCCCUGGGCGAUGGCCCAAGGGGUCUCGCCCAGUCCACAAAAAAUUUCUGAUUAAGAAAACCUAUUUUGAAAAAGAAUUUUAGUCUGGAAAUAGUUUUUUGUUUCAUAGCAUAAAUUCAAAAAAGAAAGAGAAAAAAAUCAAAUUAACGUAAAUUUCAAAUUCAAAAAAUUGAUGGACUAAAGCAUGCUAUAUGAUAAGGUAGUUAUGUAAAUUUCAAAGUCGAAGUAGGGUAUAUUUUAAAAUAUGAGAAAAAGUUUGAUGCACCGACGAUCAUGGGCGGAGCCACAGGGGUGGCUUAUCGGUGCUCCGCGCCUCUGAAUAUUUUCGAUAUUCAUACUAGUACUAGGUAUAUUAUUUUUCUAGCACCCGUGACUAUAAAAACGGAUAAUUGCUGGGAAUGAGAAUCGAACCUCCUACUCCUAGGAUAAAAACAAAUUCAUAUGUUUACCACUAUACUAGAAGAACUCUAUUGAGUGUUUUGACAAUUUUAUAUAUUUAUACAUAACCUAAUAUCAUAAUUGGUAUCAAUUAUAUCAAUUGAUUCACACAUAUAUUUUUUUUAAAGAAUUUACAUAUCGAAUCAUUAGGAUUAGUGUUUGAUAAAAUUAUGUUUGAUAUAACGAAGUUUGAUAAAAUAAAAGAUAGAAGAUUAAUGUGUAUAGAAAUAAUACGUAAAAAUAAGUUUAAAAACAAACAUGGUUUAGAUAGAAGAAAGUGAAAUUAAUUUUUUGUUUGAUAUUUAGCCACUCCAGUGUCAAAUUCCUGACUCCGCCCCUGCUGACGGUGUAAAGAUUUUCUUACGCCGUUAGCCAAUCAGAUUUCUUGAAUGUGGGAAAGAUAGAUGUUUUAUUUAAUAAAUUGAGUGACAUGACAAUUUUUUGAAAUCUGAUUGAUUGACUGAGUAAAAAAAAUAUUACACUGAUAGUGAAUCAAAAUUAAACUCAUAUAGUAUAUAUCUAAUCUAAUUAUGAAAAAUAAUAAAAAUUGGUACAUCAGAGAUAAAGGCCCCAUUUGGAAAAACAACUUAAUUAAGCGCUUAUGUCAACAUAAGCGCUUAUUAAUAAGCUAUUUUAAAAAAUUUAUCGAAAUAAAUUGAAAAUAAGUUAUAUAUAAGCAUAAACUAUUUUCCAUAAGCUAUCAUGAGUAGCUUAUGAAAAUAAGCUCAAAAAAGCUUAUUGUACGUCAUAAAUUGUCUGCAUAAGUUCUCCCAAACACUGGCAUAAGCGCUUAUCCUAUCAGAUAAGCUCAAAUAAGUUCUUUCAAACGGGGUCAAAUUGCGCCCUCCAGGAAUCGGUCCCUGAACCUUUCCCACUCUAACUCAUAUGUCUAAUAACUCUUACCCAAUCGAAGCUAGUAUAUAUCCUCCCCAAUUUGACCUCUCUCACCCCAAUCUAUAUGUCUCAUAGAUUUGCAUCCAAUAAUCUUACUUUUAGUAGUACUUUGAGUCUGUAACAAACUAGUAUAAUCUAAUCUAGAGAGUCAUUAUAAUUCUAUGUGCCAACAAUUUAGAGCAAGAUAAUUUUAAAAAAAAAAAUUUAGAGCAAGAUAAAAAAAGUUCACGUCUCAAUCUUAAAACAACUUCAAUCUUUAACUUGAAAUUCAAAAAAAUUGGGCUUAAUGUUUUGUUUUUUGACUGUUGGGCUUAUAAACAGAGAAGGAAUAGGAUUUAAGAGAAAACCAAGGUCGUUUUGUUUUGACCAAAAAAAACUUUCGUUCACAUCACAUUCCUUUCCGCUUCAUAUGACACAAAUGCAUGUGCUUUAACCCUCGGCGCUAUCCUCCCACUCCACCAUCUCAACCGCAACAACCACCUUCCGACGCCUUUGCUUCAGGAAUUGGGUUUGACACCUCACCUAUUGGGUUUGACACCCCACUUUAUUUAAUACGGGAUAAUACGAAACUUAAAAAACCGUACUGUAUUUGAGCAUAUGUGGCACAUUUUCAACUAUUCAUUGCAUACUAAAAUAAAUACGGAAUUUAAAAUUCCGUAUUAAUAUAUUUCAUAUUGAAUAAAGUGGGGGUGUCAAGCCCCUCACGCUUCCUCUUUCUGCUUCACUCGGCGACCCUUGACGGCCCUCGCUCCUGCCUCCUCUGUCUUCAAGUUCAGAUCCCAAGCUCUCUCCUCUUUACUCAAAGAACCUUCUGACUCUGAAGGUAUACUAUAACCGUAAACCAACCUGUCAUAUAUAUUUUUUAGGCUAUUUUUUAUUUGGAACGUACAAAAUUGUAAAGGAAGCCAGAGACCUGUUCGAAAGCUGGUGUAGGAAAUAUCACAAAACAUACUCCUCUGAAGAACAAAAACUCUACAGGUUCGGUGUCUUCAAGGAAAAUAUAGAAUGCUCCACCCAAACGCAAUGGCUAUUUCUGUUCAGAAACAAAAGCUAGAGAAUUGUUCGAAAUCUGGUGCAAGAGACAUGGCCGAACAUACUCUUCGGAAGAACAGAAACUCUACAGGUUCAGUGUCUUCAAGCAAACUCUUGAACGACGCUCCCGUGAAAACAUGAAGCAUGCUAACCCACAACAUCGUGUUAGAAUUUUGGGUAUGAUAAUCCUGGAUAACUUCGAAAAUCGUGUUUGCACACUUUCGAACAAAGUAAAAUACAUUGAUGAUUCUAAAAUCACCAACACAUUGCUGCUUCAACACCAACGUUUAUUAUGAUCUCACCGUGGAGGAAUUUAUGGAACUCUUUGGGGGAUGAAAUUUCAAUUGAUUUCCCUUUCAAUUUCAAGUGAUUUCCCGUUCACAAACUUGGAGAUUUUUUUUGUGUACGUGUUCAGUAGCUGCUUUAUCUACCUUUUAGUUUGUUAGUUUUUGUGUGUUCAGUAGCUGCUUUAUCUGCCUUUUAGUUUGUUAGUUUGAACCAUGUUUGAAUUUCAACAAAGACUUUGGAAAUUUGGUGCUGCCUAAGGCGCCUUACCAUCAUGCACCUUCUUGUAAACAGGGUUAUACUGCAGUAGCGUGGCACUUUUGUUGCUGAGAUCUUCUUCCACAUGUUGGUACUCAACCCCUUUCAGUUCAACAGCCCACUUGAGUACUUGACCCUGAGGACAACUGGACUAGCCCAGAAUCCAAUUAAGGUGAUUGAAUCCCUUGCAAUAUUUGUUUUCUAACCAAAUUCUUGAAGCUCUCUCUCACUUGCAGGUCCUCUAUAUAUAAGUUUUUUUUUCCCUUUUGAAAGCGUCACUUGACUGCAUCAGUAGUAGAACUUGAAAGUUGUUUGUCUUUGACUUAGUCCCAUACCAUCUAGAGAUAGAGGGCUUAACUUGCUACAUCAUGUCCAAGUAUAUUAUUUGAAGAGUUCUUAUGUAGUGACACUCACUUUUGUAAUCUUAUAUUUUACUUGGAAUUUAAAUGGGAAAAAAUAACUUUCUUUACUUGAAUGAUACGGAUAAUUUCCAAUUUCAACUUCGUAUAAAACUAUUGUGAUAUAAUCAAACGUUAUCAUUAUACCGGGACAUAGUGGAUGAUGAUGUUUGGAGGAUUGUCCAAACUACUUUUGCCUUAGGUACCAUUGAUCCUUCUCUUGUAGAAGCUCUUAUGAUUUUAAUUCUUAAGGUGGAUGUGCCGAAUUAGAUGAAAGAGUUUCGACCAAUUAUCCUUUGUAACGUUGUUUAUAACUUAUAAGAUUAUUACUAAGGUUUUUGUACUUCGUCUCCGGUCGUUCCUGGAUCUGAUUAUUAGGCCCCUUCAAUCUAGCUUCAUUCCAGAAAGGGGCACGACAAAUAAUGCUAGGGUGGCUCAAGAGGUAAUUCUCUUUUUGGAGUGUUUAGGGGUUGGGUUGAUUGAAUAAAGAUAAUUGAGGGGUUUGGUGUGGUUUCUUUAAAUAUUUUUGUCAAACCCAAACCAAACCAAACAGAUCCGAUUAAAAAAAUUGGGUUAGUUUGAUUUGAUUCAUCGGGUUAUAACAUACAAAUAAAUUUAAAAUUUUUUAAUAUUUUAUCCACAUUUAUUAUAAAUUUUAUGGAUAAAAUAUUUAAUGAUAUCACUACAGAUUUAAAAAAUAUAUUGAAUGAUAGAUUAAGCAUCUAUCAUCUUUUUUUUUGUUAUCUCUAAGCUAGGUUGACGUGAUAAUCCUGAUCAUAGUCAAGGUCGCCAGUUGACAGGGUCACUUAUCUGGUGGUAGGAUGAAUUUUUUUUGAACAAAUUUGGAACCAAAAAAUAUGUCAUAGCUGGUUGUUGGAAGGUAGCAUGGUAGUCAUGGUUUAUUCAGUUCUACAAGCCAUGUCAAUCAGGAUCUGACUUUUUAAAACCCAAACUGGUGUAGUGGCUGAAUCACCCAUUCUCCAGGCAUAUGGUUUUUACAAUUAGUUUCAACAUACCAAAUUGCUGAAGAAAUGGGCUACUCUAUUUUUCUUUUUCUGUAAGAGGGUGAGAUUAAUAUUCUGUGAUCAGCCUAUUUUAUUAUCUAUCACAUUUGGGAUGAAUUUAUGACAUGUUUAAUUUCCCAUAAAAAAAAUAAGAUUUCCGCUCACUUUUUUUAUUUUAAAAUGAACAUGAACGCUCGUUUGAACUAGUGCUAACAAAAACCUAAACAUGAACUCUGACUAUCAAGUAGCCUGAUAUUGAUCUUGCAGAGCCUUUCAAGUGGAUGAAGAUAUCAAGAACUUGUGGAAGGCCUUGUUCUUCUCAAGCAGUUUAUCACGAGGUGGCAUGGAUUCUUUGAUAAUAGGAAGCUCCUGAAAAUCAUCGAACCAAGCAUUAAGCUUAGCCAUGGACUCUGUAUCAAUUAGGUUUAUGCCCACAAUUUCUUCCACUAUCCCAACCCAAUAUCUUAGCCACCCAAUAGCAAUAUCAGCAAAGCCUAUUGUUUCACCUCCAAAGUAGCGUUUUCCCUCAAGUCCACCUUCAAGGAUCUUCAGAUUCUCUCUGAGUUCUUGUGCUGCUUUCUGUUGUUCCUCCCCUAGUUUGGAAAAUGUCCCAAUAAUUGCUGGCAUACACUGAAAAUAAGAAAAGGUUGGUUUCUGUAUCAGAGGUUGAAUAUUGCAGAUAAGCUGAAGACACCUUGUUACAAAAAUGUAAUGCAUAUAAUACUAAUUGUGUGUACAUUGUUCCAGUUAUGAAAUCUCCAAAUAAUCAUGUACAGAGUAGAAACAACUAUGAGCAUGUUUGGAUAUACGAUUUUAAAACCAUAGUGGACCUAAAAUCAUGGUGGAUAACCACAGAAGUUAAAGGAACUUGUUUAUGUACCAUGAUUUUAACUUCAUUGUGAUUUUUCACCAUAUACCCAAACAUGCAUUAUCUCUAUCUUCUUCACAUAUUUGACUUGGAACUAAAACCAAUUAUAUUGCCAAACAUUUAUGUGUUUGUUUGGUUCCACGUUUAGAAGCCUGAAACUCAAUUCUCAUUGACUUCACUUUUAAAUGGUGGUUAUAUAGAUGUUUGAUAAUCAACCAAAUUUUAGUCCUAAAAUUGAGAAGCUAAAGAGACUAACUUUUGCAGUAGACUUAUUAGUGUCGAAUUUUGUCUCUGAAUUAUCAGAACAUUACCCUAUAGAGAUCACUUGUCUCAUUAACGUUUUCAAACAUACAUCAUUUCACUUUCAACUAACUUUUAACAUAAACAAUUCUAGCAAAAUCAAUUCUGCCAUAUAUAACAAUAAGUAUUGAAAUGUAAAACUAAAAACAACUAAUAGACUUCAUUACCUUUUCAUCAAUGAAUCUGGACCAGAAUCUGGCCCUGGCUCUUUCAUAGGGAUCAUGUGGAAGAAGAGGAUUUUGCUUCCAGGUCUCAUCAAUAUACUCAAGAAUCACUAGUGAUUCUGCCAGAUGCUUACC